GACGAACGCUGGCGGCGUGCCUAACACAUGCAAGUGGAGCGACGAACCGGACUUCGGUCCGGGCAAGGCCGCGAACGGGUGAGUAACACGUGGGUAACCUGCCCCGAUGAUUGGGACGAACCCGACGGAAACUCGGGCGUAAUACCGAAUGUGCCCUACCGGUCGCAAGACCGCUGGGGAAAGGAAGCUUCGGCCUCCGCAUCGGGAUGGCCCGCGGCCAUUAGCUUGUUGGUGAGGUAAAGGCUCACCAAGGCC
rnacentral:rRNA from 1 species